AAUUUUGGACAAUGGGCGCAAGCCUGAUCCAGCAAUGCCGCGUGCAGGAUGAAGGCCUUCGGGUUGUAAACUGCUUUUGUACGGAACGAAAAGCCCUGGGUUAAUACCCUGGGGUCAUGACGGUACCGUAAGAAUAAGCACCGGCUAACUACGUGCCAGCAGCCGCGGUAAUACGUAGGGUGCAAGCGUUAAUCGGAAUUACUGGGCGUAAAGCGUGCGCUGGCGGUUUUGUAAGAACGAGGUGAAAGCCCCGGGCCCAACCUGGGAACUGCCUUUGUGACUGCAAGGCUAGAGUACGGCAGAGGGGGAUGGAAUUCCGCGUGUAGCAGUGAAAUGCGUAGAUAUGCGGAGGAACACCGAUGGCGAAGGCAAUCCCCUGGGCCUGUACUGACGCUCAUGCACGAAAGCGUGGGUAGCAAACAGG
rnacentral:rRNA from 1 species